ensembl:lncRNA
CUGCUGUAGCAGGUUAGUAUGUAACUGCAGGAGAAGCAGCUGUACUAACACAGAGGCCCCUAUCCACCCAGAGGCACUGAUAACCCUGCGGGAAGAAUAGCUCACAGUCUACAAAUUGAUGCAUCCUUAAAUAUAAAGUCAACAUGUGUUUGUGUAUUUGGGGCCAUUCGUUACCUUGUGAGCAGUGGAGUAGCAAUGGACUCAGCUGGCUUGGGAAGAGCUGCCAGAUUUUCAGAACAAUGCCACCCUCAUCAUCACCGUUAACGCCUCUCUUCUCCUCAGAAAUAUCCCAGAUCCCAACACGCCUCUAUAUUAUCCUCACAUAUCAAUGUCUGCUGGUGUCUUUUGUGGCUGGCCCUGUCAGAAGAUUUGCCUGUGUGCAAUCAAAUCACUUUCACCUUCUGUAUACUGCAGAUUAUGAAAAGCGAUUAAUGAUUACAUGCAGCACCUAACUGAAAAAUUUAAGGGGGUGAACUGACCUGAGUGAGAGGUUUUCAGUGCUACACAGACAGUGUUGAGCAUGGCAACCGGAAAUCCAAAUUGUGUUCCAAAUGUUGCUCUUAAAAAAAGAAAAGGUUAUAAAAGUACACCUUUGUACUUUAUUAUGCUAAAGUGUGCAUAUUAGUACCUUAAAGAUUCAUAUUAAAGGGGUCAUAUGAUGCAAUUUCAAGUUUUCCUUUGUCUUUGGAGUGUAAACAAAGCUUUUCGUGCAUAGAUAAGAUCCCUAUAGUUGCAAAGACUAAAAUCUCAAACCCAAAGAGAUAUUCUUUAAAAAGGUUAAGAGUCGUCCAUGCCUUCCUAAAAUGCCUCGUUUAAACACGACCCCACAUGUCUACCUCACUGUGUGGGAAGAUUUGCAUAACGCCGCCCAAAUGUUCACGCAAAGAAAGAAGGCGUAACUUUGAUUCUCGCUGUUACUGCCGCCUCCAUGUUGUGGAGACACUGUGUGUUUCAUUGUGAAAGUGAAACUACUUUGUUUGGCCUUCCAAAAGAGGACACAACUAGAAAUCAGUGGUUAAGUUGUAUUUACAACACUUUUCCAGAACAGUUCAACUCAAAUAUUUGAGUGUGUGCAGCGCAUUUUAUGGAGGACUGUUUUCUGGGAGAGAAGCCUACAAUGUCAACUGUGCACAAAGGCUGUUUUUAUAAAAUGAGGCAAUUCCAACUUUGCAAGGACAGUCUGGCACUCGUCGCACUGGGACACAGCAUCACAGUAUGGUAAGGGGCGUAACAUUUCCAUCCCACACUUGAGGCAAUACGCCAAUCACAAUGCACUGGAUAGCUGGCCAAUCAGCGUACACCUUGCUUUUCAGAAUGAUGAGCUUUGUAAAAAUCUAUGCGUUUCAGAAAGGAGGGGCAUAGAUGAGAAACAAUAAUGUACAGUAUGUGGAAAAUAAUGUGAUUUUAGAAACUUAAACUGCAUAAACACAAUGCAUUACAAAUACACCAAAU